rnacentral:rRNA from 1 species
AUAGACAACAAUAGGCCAGGCGACAUCUAAUGUAUAUAUCUAUGACUCACUGAAGCUAAGCAGGGCUGAGCCUGGUCAGUACCUGGACAAGAGACCACAUGGGAAGACUACGUUGUUGUCAGAA